AGUGAACGCUGGCGGUAGGCCUAACACAUGCAAGUCGAACGGCAGCACAGUAAGAGCUUGCUCUUACGGGUGGCGAGUGGCGGACGGGUGAGGAAUACAUCGGAAUCUACUUUUUCGUGGGGGAUGACGUAGGGAAACUUACGCUAAUACCGCAUACGACCUACGGGUGAAAGCAGGGGAUCUUCGGACCUUGCGCGAUUGAAUGAGUCGAUGUCGGAUUAGCUAGUUGGCGGGGUAAAGGCCCACCAAGGCGACGAUCCGUAGCUGGUCUGAGAGGAUGAUCAGCCACACUGGAACUGAGACACGGUCCAGACUCCUACGGGAGGCAGCAGUGGGGAAUAUUGGACAAUGGGCGCAAGCCUGAUCCAGCCAUACCGCGUGGGUGAAGAAGGCCUUCGGGUUGUAAAGCCCUUUUGUUGGGAAAGAAAAGCAGCAGGUUAAUACCCCGCUGUUCUGACGGUACCCAAAGAAUAAGCACCGGCUAACUUCGUG
rnacentral:rRNA from 1 species